rnacentral:rRNA from 1 species
UAGCGAAGGGGGCUAGCGUUGCUCGGAAUCACUGGGCGUAAAGGGUGCGUAGGCGGGUCUUUAAGUCAGGGGUGAAAUCCUGGAGCUCAACUCCAGAACUGCCUUUGAUACUGAGGAUCUUGAGUUCGGGAGAGGUGAGUGGAACUGCGAGUGUAGAGGUGAAAUUCGUAGAUAUUCGCAAGAACACCAGUGGCGAAGGCGGCUCACUGGCCCGAUACUGACGCUGAGGCACGAAAGCGUGGGGAGCAAACAGG